UACAGAGGUCUCAAGCGUUGUUCGGAUUCAUUGGGCGUAAAGGGUGCGUAGGCUGCGCGGCAAGUCAGGUGUGAAAUCCCGGGGCUCAACCCCGGAGCUGCACUUGAUACUGCCGUGCUCGAGUACUGGAGAGGAGACUGGAAUUUACGGUGUAGCAGUGAAAUGCGUAGAUAUCGUAAGGAAGACCAGUGGCGAAGGCGAGUCUCUGGACAGUUACUGACGCUGAGGCACGAAGGCCAGGGGAGCAAACGGG
rnacentral:rRNA from 1 species